rnacentral:rRNA from 1 species
UACACUCCUACGGGAGGCAGCAGUGGGGAAUUUUGGACAAUGGGCGAAAGCCUGAUCCAGCAAUGCCGCGUGCAGGAUGAAGGCCUUCGGGUUGUAAACUGCUUUUGUACGGAACGAAAAAGCUCCUUCUAAUACAGGGGGCCCAUGACGGUACCGUAAGAAUAAGCACCGGCUAACUACGUGCCAGCAGCCGCGGUAAUACGUAGGGUGCGAGCGUUAAUCGGAAUUACUGGGCGUAAAGCGUGCGCAGGCGGUUAUGUAAGACAGAUGUGAAAUCCCCGGGCUCAACCUGGGAACUGCAUUUGUGACUGCAUGGCUAGAGUACGGUAGAGGGGGAUGGAAUUCCGCGUGUAGCAGUGAAAUGCGUAGAUAUGCGGAGGAACACCGAUGGCGAAGGCAAUCCCCUGGACCUGUACUGACGCUCAUGCACGAAAGCGUGGGGAGCAAACAGGAUUAGAUACCCUAGUAGUCCC